rnacentral:rRNA from 1 species
CCCGUCUUGAAACACGGACCAAGGAGUCUAACAUGUGCGCGAGUCACUCGGUCUUGAAUAGGCCAGAGAGGCGCAAUGAAGGUAAACAUAUAUAUAUUUUAUAUAUAUAUCUGUUACGAUCCCAGCAGUUCAGUUGCCAACUGGUGACUGCUGUCGGGCGCAGUAACGGCCUGCCAAUUUCGCCUUUUGACGAUCUGGCAGAGUUGUAGCGUACACGUUGGUACCCGAAAGAUGGUGAACUAUGCCUGGGCAAGACGAAGCCAGAGGAAACUCUGGUGGAGGUCUGUAGCGAUUCUGACGUGCAAAUCGAUCGUCCGACCUGGGUAUAGGGGCGAAAGACUAAUCGAACCAUCU